rnacentral:tRNA from 1 species
AUUUUUAUAGCUUAAAUUAAGAGUAUAAUAUUGAAAAUAUUAAGGUGACUAAAUUCUAAAAAUA